rnacentral:lncRNA from 1 species
CCUGGGAUCUGUAGUUCGGAGGAUGGUACAGCCUAUGUCCGCUUCACGGACAGCCUGGUAAGGGGAACUACAGGGGUGGAUUCAUAGCUGCAAAAGGAGGUGAAGUUGGAGGAGGCCCGAGAGAGAAACUAGAGAGGGUGAGAAACUUUCUUCUUGGAAAAGUCUCCUGCGUGAACGUUGUCCAUUUAAAGCAAAGCCCAAGAAGUUUUCUGGAAAGUCAUUACUGAACAAAUGUGCUGUGACAGAUGCUGCUUGGGGAGAAAGGCCUGUUUGAUGUGCACCAUGGAGGAUUUGUGUUCCUAUGCUAGGAGACUCUCCUUCUCAGGUAUGAAGCGGAAAUUUACAGGUAAAUACUUGCUCAGCCCUCUGAUUUAUGCCAGCAGGAUUUGGUUUACACCCUGAUUUCCUGCAAGGGAAUUCCCCUUCUCUUCCAGAUAAAGCAAUGAAGAAGGAGCAGUAAGUUUGCUAGCCAGCCUUGUAGAAACUUCCUCCAGACUAUACAGUCAUUAACAUAUGCAGAAAUAAAUCAGCAGGAUGUUCCCGCCCUUCCUCCCCC